CUGCAGCCAAUUAAGCUGUUGGAGUUCCUUUCCUCAUGGGGGCCUGGUGUGCAAUGGCUGUGAACAGCUGCUUCUUUGGUAGUGUUUGCAGCCUGUUAUUGUAUGAGUGGCUCUAAGGGACCUGGAGACAGGC
ensembl:snoRNA SNORA70 Small nucleolar RNA SNORA70